rnacentral:lncRNA from 1 species
UUGGUUGUGUCCGAGGAGUAGGCAAAGUUGGCCGAACCUCCUAAAUUCUGGUGUUCCUUUUAUUGUUGCUUUAUUGUCUUAUUUAUUAUUUAGUGACUGCCAUAUUUUUUUGUAUAGUAGUUGUGACUCAUUCACACUAUACAUUUGGCUUCCGCAACACUUCCUAUAUAUGGAAAUGAAUGUUUUGUUUGUGUGAUCAUAUGCAAGAUAAUGGAAUUGAUAUAGAUCAUCUCUAUAUCCGGACAGAGAAGACUAGUUUUUAGUAAACUGAGUACGUGGAUUGUUAUUUAAUUGGUCAGAGAUGACAUUUAUAAUCCAAAGUUCCCAUGUUUCUGAACCACCUCUCUAGAAAAUACUUUUCCUUGAUGCCUCUGUUGUCGAUCCUUUUUCCUUCUCUCCAGCAGUUGCUUCAUUUUCUAAAAACACGACAGCUGGGGAAAACAUAGAUCAUCUAUGUUUAAAAUCUUGUGAAUCUAUAUAAGUAAGAAUCUGUAAUGGCAAGAAGUAGAACUAGUGUCGGUGAUGGGCUGUGAGGCUACUCUUGGUACUGACACCAAGGUUUUCUGAUAGUGUUCUAGUUUUGAUAAGGAUUUGCUGUUAGUGAUCUCAUUGAUUAUGGUUUCCAUGAUAAUGCGCAAAUCAGUGUGUUCUCUCUGACUAAGCUUUGCUUAUAUUGAAUGGUGAAAAAUGAAUUGUGAUAAAUAACAUGUCAUGGAGAGAACUAAAUAUGGUACAUACACUCAUUAUUGAAUCUUUUGAAUUGGCUGUUUUUGGUGUUGUGAUGUAUGAAAUUUAUGGGCUAUGUAUUUCAUGUUGUUAUUUGAUUGUUAAUUGGUGUUUUGUUUUUUCAUUUGUUAUUUUUCUUUUCUUUUUUUUGGUGGACUGAACAUAAAAGGUUGUAUAUGUAAACAUGUGAUUCCAUGUCAUGCACCCUUAAGUUCGAAACUUACACUUUAUCCAAAAAAAAACUAAACUAAAAGGCAAAGGUUCAAAUUUGUCUCAGAACUAUGCGAAUGGUCCAGAUUUUUCAUCCAUUAUAUUUGGGAUCAAAUCUAUCCUUGCCGUUACAACAAUGGGCUAGAUUUUCCUUUGUUGAGUACAGUUAAUUGUUAAGACUAAUAUCCACCAUUAAUGUAUAGUUAAAGCGAAUAUUUGGACCAUUUUAUAUAAUUCAUGGGCUAGUUUAGACCUUCUCCAAAUUCCUAAACCCUAAACCACUAUAGUACCUCUUCCAUGGAUACCACCAGUUCACAACCAUUAGACCUUCUUCCAUCAGCCCUCUCCGCCAUUAACGCUCACCUACAGACAUUAGAUGUCCCCAUUCAUCAUAACAUUCCUCUAUUUCUAAGCUGCAUCACCACACUGCAGGAAACCUCUAUUUGGCUUAACUCCAAACAAAUCUGCCCAAUAGCUCCCUUUUUCCAUUCACAACUAAAUAGCAAUCAUUUUCAUUUUCAUCUCCACUUAAUUGCCUUAAUGCCAUACUCAUUGUAUUGUCAAUACCACCAUCAAACAAAAAAAUUUCACGCUUGAACAACAUCACCUUGGUUUCAUCUCCGCUAGUACCAAAGCCAACAUUCUUCUCGUCUUCUUAUUUUUCAUUUCUACACAACUCAAAAGCUCCAUCAUCUGUAUAUUUUGAAAAUUUCCGAAACUUUCAGCUUUUGCUUAGGAUUGUUCACAAAGGUGCAAAGGUUGAUUUAACAUGUGGGAGAAGUUCACAAAGGUGCAAAGGUUGGUAUUGAAAUUAGUUGAAUUUUCAAAUUGGCUAUGAAUAAUAACUAUAGUAGAAUUGGAAACAUGCAUUUUGAUGAAUUUGUCGAUUCAGAAUUUUUGGCUGGUCAAUGUUUGUUGAAACUUUAGGAAAUUUAAGGAUAUGGUUUUCUGGGUGUUUUGACAGUUCAGGAAUUGUAGCAUUCGUCAGGCUAAUGAGAUCCUCACCAGAAUUCGUAAAGACCUUGAUUCGUCCCAAAUCUAAAUUUUCCCUUGAACUGUUUGAAAUGGUCCAAAUUUGCCCAUAAACUAUGUGUUAAUGGUAUG